UGGGGGAGCUGUGCGGUUGGAGGAGCUGAGCUGUUGGGGGAGCUGUGCGGUUGGGGGAGCUGUGCGGUUGGAGGAGCUGUGCUGUUGGGGGAGCUGUGCUGAGCUGUGUUAUCAGGAUGUUCCUGAGGCAGAAAAGCGGUUUUGACCCAGACCUCCACCAGCGCCCUGCCUCCAGUAACACAUGUCUGGUAGAAAAAGUCAAACAUGCUGACCUUUCCUGUCCUGAGGUGGAGAAAAGACUAACUAUCACAGUCUCUGAAUGUGACAUAGCGAGGUUUCGGAAUCCUCUCUAUCAGAAUCUGUGUGUGUCGAUGCUGCAGGAAGGGUUUCAUCUCUCCUUUGAAAAGUUCUUUUCUUUGCUGAAAAGGUCAAGAGCUUCUCGGCUUCCUCUGGAGGAUCAGCACCACAAACUGGAGAUGCUGAGAGAGCACCUCACCCGCGCUGAGGGUGCUGAAAGAGCUGGUAAUUAACACAAUAUUUUGUUUUAAUCGAUUAAUCUAUAAUGUAGAAAAUAAAUAAAAACAGUGAAUG
rnacentral:lncRNA from 1 species